rnacentral:lncRNA from 1 species
AAAAAAGCAACAAAAAACAAAAAACAAAAAAACAAAAAACAAAAACCAAUAUAAAAAAAACAAAAAUCAUUUUGAUGUCUGCUAAUUUUUUCAUAGUUGCUAAUCCACCAAAUUAUCCUGUAAAGCCUCUUGGUAAAUGCACCAAGCUUGAUUAAACUUUUCAAAACAUUUAUUUUUAACUGAUAUCUUCUUCUCCAAAAUAUAUAUGAUGAUGCUUUAUUUUUUCAAUCAAUGCUGUUAAACUUAAUUCUCCUUUAAAAUAUCGUGUAUUAUAUAUAUAUUGUUUAAUCCAGAGAAAAAUAUUGUUUUGAGGGUCACCUUUGUACAUUCGUGAUAAAUUUCCAACAAAAAAAAUAUCCUGUGUAAAUGGUAUACUAAUACCGUUAUGGAGAAACCACAUUUCAGUUUGCUCAAUAAAUUGUUGUACAUAAUAACAAUCCCACAGUAUAUGUUCAAUUGAUUCAAGUUCAGUCUUACAAAAAGUACAAUAUGGGUUUUGCACAAUCCCAAUUUUGUUUAAAAACGUAUUUGUUGCCAGAAUUUUAUGAUUAAUUCUAUACUGAAGCCAUUGUAGCUUAGUAUUUUUUGUAAUAGCAAAUGGUAGUUGAAAAAUCUUUUUCCAGUUUUGAUUUUCUAAAACUAAAAUUGCUUCCCAUCUUUUUACUCCUGUAGGAACAGUGUUGUUUUUGUUUAGCACCAAAUACAUAUCUUUAGAUCCCUUUUUGCUUUUGAGAAUGGUCUUUAUAACUGAUGGUAUGAAAGGAGAUACUAAUUUAUAAUCUCCCCUUUUAAUUUUUUUGGAAGUCUUAGUUAGCAUAGAAAUUAUGCUAUUAUAUUUCAUGAUGUCUAUAUCCAUCUGAAAACACUCCUGAAAUUGAUAAAAAUUUAGAAAGGUACCAUUCUCCCCCACAAUAUCAUUUACAUAUAAAAUACCCUUACUAUGCCAGUCUUUGAAAAAAACUGGUUUGUUGUCAAUUUGGAAUAGGUUAUUCAUCCAAAUUGGACUGGAAAGAAAAUAUUCCCAGUCGUGCAAAUUCAUUUCUUUUUCAAUUACCAUUUGCCAAGCACCCAGUACAUCUUUCCAAAAUUUAUUCUUAAUACUUUGCUGUAGUUGCUUUACAUAGCUAUUACCACAACUAAAUAAUCUAUCUUUAUCAACAUAUGACAAAAAUAUAUUUCGCCAUUUACAAUCAUUUCUACAAAUUCUUCUAAUCCAAGUACAUUUCAAAGCAUUUAUAAAAGCAUGUAAAUUAAUCAUUUUUAAGCCUCCAUCACAAUAAUCUUUUUGUAUUACAUCUUUUUUCACUCUAUGAACUGGUGAGUUCCAAAUAAACUUAUACAUCAGUUCAUUUAUCUGUUUAAUAAUAUAUCUUCACUUGGAUUAGGUAGUGACAAUAUUAAAUGAUUUAAAAUUGGCAACAUAAGUGUCUUUACAACAGUAAUUCGACCAAUAACAGUAAUGUUACGUCUAGACCAUUGUUUGACUAGUCUUUUUAUUUUUACAAUAUUUUCAUCAUAAUUGAUUUUAACUAGUUUUUCUAAAUCAACAUCAAAAUUAACACCCAAUAAUUUAAAGGAUGUGCUUCCCCAAGUAAGAUUUUGAUUUGUACAAAGUGUCUCUGUG